rnacentral:pre_miRNA from 1 species
AUUCUACUCCCUUCGUUGCACAACACACGCCUUCUAUUUGUCAAAAUAUAUAUGUAUCUAGACAUGUUUUAGUAUAUAGGUACAUCCAUUUUUGGACAAAUGGAAGUCAAGUUUUUGGAACGGAGGGAGUACACA